rnacentral:rRNA from 1 species
UAUUGGACAAUGGGGGGAACCCUGAUCCAGCGACGCCGCGUGAGUGAAGAAGUAUUUCGGUAUGUAAAGAUCUACCAGCAGGGAAGAANNAAAUGACGGUACCUGACUAAGAAGCCCCAGCUAACUACGUGCCAGCAGCCGCGGUAAUACGUAGGGGGCAAGCGUUAUCCGGAUUUACUGGGUGUAAAGGGAGCGUAGACGGCGAUGCAAGUCUGAAGUGAAAGGCGGGAGCCUAACCCCCGGACUGCUUUGGAAACUGUUUGGCUUGAGUGCAGGAGAGGUAAGUGGAAUUCCUAGUGUAGCGGUGAAAUGCGUAGAUAUUAGGAGGAACACCAGUGGCGAAGGCGGCUUACUGGACUGUAACUGACGUUGAGGCUCGAAAGCGUGGGGAGCAAACAGG